CCGGCCCGCACUCGACAGCCACCGCCGCCCCCAGCGCCCAUGCCUGACAUCUUAAACAAGAACAACCACAAAAUGAAUAUUGGCUUAUUUCUGCAAAGAAGUCUGUUGCCAGCUACGUGAACCUGAGAAUUAAUAAGAUAUGAUAUGCUGAGUGAUGGUUAAGAAAGACUACAUUAAGUUGGCAAAAACUGAACUAUCUGGAGGAGGUUUUGAAUUAUUUUUUCAGGUGACAGGUUGUGGAUUGUAAAUUAGGCCUAAAAGGUCAGGUGACAGGCACCUGUUCCUCAUUAUUGUAAAAAUCUUCUGGUUACAAACUCUAUUAAGCUAAAGACAACAUGGAUAUACAGUAGGGACUCUAUAAAGCACUCUAGUGGCUUGUCAUCUGCUCUGUAAAUUUCCAAAAGGGCCAUACAUAGAUAUGCCCUGUACACAAACACAUCAUUUCUUUCAAGAUGUGUUAUCUUGGAUGACUCUUACUAGUACUUGGGAUUGGCGAAGUAUGUAAAAUAAAUACAUGUCACUGAAUCAAUCUUCAGACCAUAUCUAGACAUGUUGUAGUCCAAUGCAAACAUAUUUUUAAACCCUUCUUUUCUCUUUACAGUCCAUUGAUUAAUUAUCAGAAUUUCUUCAUGUUUUAAAGAACAGCCUCCCCAAAUUGCCUUGUAUAGUUUUUAGAUCAGAUGUGUUCCCAUUUUAAAUGAUGCCAUGAAAUAGUUUGCUCAGUACUUGUAAUGUAAGGAGAAAAUUAGUUGUUAUCUACUGUCAUAGCAUUGUGGCAUAUAGAAAAUGGGAAGAAAAACACAUUUUAUAUGAAUGCUGUUAGGAAGCGCAUCGUCAUCUGAUCCUCAAGCUUGCCACUUCUCUCAGCAGAGCUCAGUAAUGUUUCUGUUAGAAUUAAAGAGUAUGAUUUGAUUUGCAUGAAUGGCUUACCUUUAGAUAUUUCAGGGAGCAGAAUAAGCAUACAUAUUGGAUGGACCUAAAUAGCACAAGGUGACAACAAAAGUAAAGGUUCCAGUUGCUUUUAAUUAGCCAAGAAGGAGGAUUUUGAGUAAAUUCUGUAAUUCAGAUGAUUAAAUUCUAUAUUUAAUUUUG